GGGCUGCUUGCUGAGGAGGAGUGCUGCACAGCUAGAGAUCCCCUUCACCAGUUGGGUAAACAAGGAAUCUAAUUGGAAUGCCACAAAAAGAUCUGCUAAGAGGAGCAUCAGGAAUGAAGCAGUCAGAGGUGCUGUCUGGAAGGCAGGCAGGGGAAGGCACUCAUGCAGGGAAAUGCUGCUGUACUCUGGGAUUUAGGAAACGAGUGCAAUGUGUGGAGUCUUGGAAGUGUGAAACUCGUAAGAAGAGGAGAAGCAGCAGGAGAGGCUAAAGAAUGGAGAAUGAAGACACACUAUCUCUCUGCUCCCACACCUACUUGCUGACUCCGGUGCCGCGUGCCGCUCUCUGCAGCCGAAGCCCUUCUGACGGUCGGGGAAUGGAUUCAGCCCACAAAAAUAUGUUGCAUGUUGCAAGUGGAAUUUGCCCUCUGGCCUUCGGCUUCCCCCUCUCCUGUGACCAACAAGUGCUGUUUUCUCCUCUCUCCCCUUGCUGGUGAAAGCUGCCUUUAGCUCUCUGCAGGCGCUUGGUUCGGAGCCAGUGAUGAGUUUCCUUCACGCCUCCGUCUGCUGUGCAGCCAGAGAAAAAGCAACGCGUGCCAUUUUCCUCUGCAAUGGGCAGAGACCGCUGAGUCUCCUCUCUGCCCCACCGUGACUGGGGGGGGGGGGCACACUGGAUAUAAGCCUCAUUUUCUCUCAUUUCUUAGCAUUUGUG